GAACCGGCGCAGUCAGGACACGCUGUGUGGCGGGGUUUGGAAUAUUCUUAACGGUGGUUUGGGCGGUGUUGGCCCCGAUCUACGGAGACCGCUGGGAAGCUAUAGAUGUGCUGGAAAUUCCUCUUACUCUUCUUUAGGAUUUAAUCUGCUUCUUGUUUCAGUCAUCCUUGGUUUAUGUUCCAACUUUCCUUACUCCUUUUGUAGCCAAAAAUGCCGCCUCUGUAUACCGACGCCAGUUACGUCUUGGAGACAGUUUCGAGGAAGAGAAAGAGCAGCUUUACUGCUCUGCUAGGCAAAGGAAGACACAGCAGGCUAAUGUCUCAAAACUGUGUCCUGCCUUGAGAGGGGGUAGCAAGGGGUCCUGUAGCUUUAGCUUGAAAGACAGGGUUAUUGAUUAAGGUGUCUAUAGUCUUCCAUCGAUCAUUUCAGAGCUGUCAAGAUUGAUGUUAGAUGGUCUGGUGAUGGUUUCUGGUUGUCUUAGUGGUUAUCAUUCCUUGACUUUCUCUCUGGAAUGAAGAUUGCUAACAGGGAGGGCUUAUUAGGGGGUAUUCCAAUUAAAAAAAAACACUAGGUGUAAUAAAAUACUAGCUAGAAAGUAACCAUUAGUAAAAUAGAGCAAUUAAGCAAGGGAGAGAUCAUUUGUGAAAAGCCAGAUGCUAGGUGCAAUGUAAGUCUAAUUAGCAGGAAAGCAUUGUACUAAGUGGGCCAAGGCAGGGCAUAACACAAUGGAGACGGUUCAACCAGUUUUAUUAUUAUUAUUGUUAGUGUUAUUUUUGCUAUAACACUUUCUCCACUUAUCCCCCAGUUUUUCCUCUGCCAGUGUUUCCCUUCCUCCCUUACUGGUUGCAUUUCUUCCCUUCCUUCCCCUGCAUACACAGGAAGGUUGUUUUUCAGUUGAUCUGUUUAUUAGUAUUCAUAUUCCUGCCUCUGCUACUAGUUCCUUUAGCAAAAUACGGAAGAUGCCUAUUCCAGAGGUAUUUUGAGCUUACCACACCUCAACUCUGAGAAGACAAAGGUCAUGUUCGUCUUGCCGAACUGUUGGCAUCUUCAGCACCUGGCAGCUAAUAGCAACUCCAGUGAGAUCAGUAUUAACUUGUGAUGGUACAGUCUGGAAAUAGACAAAUGCACAAAAUAAGUGAUUGAGCUGAGCAGUUGAUUCCAUGAGUGAGAUUCUCCAAAACUUCACUUUUUCCUUUGGCAAGAUGAUGGCGAUGUUUGAACGGUGUUGAUCCCAACAGCCUGUGUCCUUGAACAGCUGCUGCUUCAUAAAGUUUCCCAUAGGGAGUAGGAGGUCUCUGCUCCUUCAAGAUAUAACCUGGGCAACUCUCUACACCUGUAGAAGAUUGCCUCUGACUCAGUGGAUAAGAGGCAAAGAUAUGGCAGAACAACUGUAAGGGGGAACUCAGUGGAUAAAAGAAAUAACUGAGCCUUUCUCCUCCUCUCUGAGCCAGAACUGUGAAGAGUCUAGGUUUCCACAAGGACACAUUCAGAAGAAGAAACUGAAGCCCAGAGAUGUUAAGAGAAGAAAUGAUUUAUUCAAACUUCAGAUUUGUGGAAAUUUUCUGGUGUACAGCAUAAAGAAUGCUCCUCCAAGGAAGAGAAAUUGACUUGACCAAGCAAGAGGAGGGAUGGGGCCAGCAUAUGACACGAAGGUGAAGAGAUAAGAGAGCUAUGGAAAGGUUUCCCUGAAGCAAGGCCCUCUCCACCCACCAUAGGAUUUGUGCAAGAUAACGUUAUGAUUGAAUAGUCACACGCAUGCAUACGUGCGAAUGAAUGCAUGAACAUUUGAACUGUAUGAGUGUUGAGCUUCUGGUGGGCUGAGCCAUAUCUUCUUCCCAAUGUGGAGAAACCACAAGUAAAUCCAGUAUUUGGCAGAUAGCUGAUGUGCAGCAAAGUGAGGGAAGAGAGCAGAAUGAGAACACAGAAGAAGAAUGUGAGCUGUUUCAGCUGGAGCCUUCCUCCCCUGCCAGGAAGGAGAGGAAACAGAGACUUCAAACACAUGGAAGCUCGCUGGUUCUUUAUGAAGGGGUGAGCAUAUGCUGAGGAUUGUUCGAAGGAAGGAGGAUGCUGACUGCAUGGUUCUGUCUGGGUUUAACAAAGAAGAGCUGUUCAGGACCCCAAACCGCAUCAAACAAUAUAGCUCUGGGAGUUCCUGCUGUGGCGCAGUGGGUUAAGUAUCUGGCAUUUCCACAGCUAUGGCGUAGGUCUCAGCUGUGGCUCAGAUUUGAUCCCUGGCCCUGGGAGCUUCCAUACACUGUGGGCACAGCCAAGCCAAAAAAACAAAACAGUACAAAACAAUACAGCCCCAAGGGCCAGGAGGCAGGAACAGUGCCUGUCCUGAAGUGGAGCACAGGAUUCUCUUUCAGCGUUUCUGUGCUGGCUGCCUUUUGGUGUCAGCAGAAGAGGGGUUACACAUGCAAGGAGGAGCCUGGGAUAUACUGGGAGGGCUCUAUUCCCCCCGCCCCUCACUCACCCCACCAGGUGGGUAUCUCUCUGCCAAAGACACCAGGCUUAGUGUCUGCAGUCCAUUGUUUCAUACAGACAACCACCAGCAGUCAGCUGGGUCACCUUGGCUUCUUCCUCCUGGGUGUUAGGAAUCCCUUGCUCUUCUCAACCUACGGAGAUCUGAGAGCCAAUGAGGUAAAGGCUGGGAAAGCACUUUGUACUAACAUGUCCAAUACCUGCUAUCAGCCCUUUAUUCCUGUGAGCCAAGGUACCAUUUGUGAAAAGGCAGCUCUGCAUGGAAGGGGUCAGACAUUAAUUAUUGGUCAUUAACCUCUUGACCCUUUCCUGAGUGACCCUGAGAAGGGAAAGGAAGAUUGAAAGAAGUCCUGAGGUCUAGAUGCCAGAUGGGGCAGGCUUGUCAGGCAGCCAGGGUAAGGAUUCUACCACUUGUUUGAAGGUGGGGUGAGGGAAGGCAGAAGAGAUGUUGGGGAACAUGGUGUUGGAGGACAGACAGAAAGGAAUAGACAAGUGUCCCCUGCCUGGGUUGAUUCCAGGGCUGGCUAUAGCCUGGAAUGGAGCAGAUUAAAGCCAGAGACCCUGCCUGCUCUGCCUGACCUGGGAGCUUUGCCCAAGCAACGCAUCUGGAAUCAGGGACAGAAUUUGAGGCAAUAAUGGCCUGUCUUUCCGCUGAGAGCAAGAGUCAAGCUCAUAAAGAGAGUCAGCGGAGAAGGGACUCUGCCAGAGAAAACAGACAAGCAAAACAGAACCUCACGCAAGACUCCAGGCUGACAAAAUUGUUCAUUAGGAACGUGGAUUUCUUUCUGAAAUAAGAGCUUGGCUAUAAAUGGCUAAACAUGUGAAGGGAAAUAGAUUGUACAUUCCCUUCCUCUAUAUCCCCUUCAAGAAGCAUAGUAGUCUUCAGAGUACACCCCAUUUCACCUCCUUAAACAAAUGGCCCUUAAAACAGGUUCUCAGCCUCAGCAAUGAUGGAAAUUUGGGCCAGGCAGUUCUUUUGGGGGGGGGGGCUGUCCUGUGUACUGUACGAUAUUUAGCAGGAUCUCUGGCCUUUUCCCAGUAGCACCCUCUCCCUAGAGUGACAGUAAAAGAUGUUUCCAGACAUUUCUAGAAAUGCCAUGGGGGUUCACAAUCUCCCCUGAGAACCGCUGACUUAAAUGUCCUAAAGAUGUUUCUUUGUUACUUUGUUCAACUAUCUCCUGAUCUCAAUUUUUCUUUUUUUAUCGCUUGACUAAGUUUAUAUAGCCUGCUUUACAUAAUUAAUUUGUUCAUUUAUUCAACCAAGUUUCCUCCUCAUUAAAGUGAAAGUGGUAAUAAGAAAUGACAUUUUGGAAGUUCCGAUGAGACAGUGUUAGAGCCAAUGGCAGAUCAACCGUGUCUUAUUGAACUAAUUAGCAGCAUAAUUAGCAUAUUCUCAAAAUUAUUAAUGGGAGCAGUAUAGAGUGCUUAAUUGAAAUGUGGAGUUUGGAGUCAGAAAACCUGUAGCCUGGUCUCUGCCCACACAUGUGGGCUCUGGCAGCUCAACCCUCUAAAACCUUAAAUCCAAAUGUGUUUAAUGUGAACACGUGUAGCACGCCUUCACAGGUAUUGCCAUUUUAUUUUUAUACUUCACAAAGCUAGAGGCACACAGUAAAACAUUUCCACUAGGAAGCUUUCUAUGGAAUAGCUUGCCUCAGUUUCAGUAGUAAUCCUGCAUUAAUUGCAUCGAACCACAGGUGGGGCUCAUUUUCAAGAGGAAAUCUGGAGAGUCACACAGAUAUUAAAAAAAAAAAAGUAAAAUAGAGGCAAAAAAUCUCAAAAGGGAUCAGUUUGCUAAAUCAUAUGUUAAUGACCACAUAUAUGUUUAUUAGAGACAUGAAAAUAAGAGAGAAAUACCUUUAGCAAGUGACUGAAAUAGAAAAACAAUUAGAAAAAUACAAAACUUCCUAAGAAGCUAAAAAUGACUUCAUAGAAUAUGCUCUAAAUGUUAAGCAUUGGGAAAAAAAAGUGGGUAAAUGUUUUGUGUGGUACAUAGACACCUGAGUGAACUGGCCAUGUGCAAAUUGCUUUUAUAAGGAUUAAUUUUAGGACAACUGGCUUUAAUCAAAUUGGUUUCUUAGAGAACUGUGCUGCCUUGGAAAUUCUGGGGUUAUAGAGUCCGGUUUCAGAGUAAAAAGGAAAAAACUAUAGGCAGAUACAGGAAAAGUAAAAUGAGGCAGUGUUAAAGGCCAGGUUUCUGCCCAGAGACUACAUCCGUGGCAUUUGAUAGAGAGGAGACAUGGCCCAGGUAGACCCUCAGUGAAGGUGCCUUAAUAAGGAAGCUUUCCCCAACCAGCCUCUCCACCCUGGCACUCACCAGCCCCUUGUCCUACCUUGUUUUUCCCCAUGGUACUCAUCCCAUCCUGAGGUAUAUAUUUAUUUCUUUACUUACUCUCUUCUGCACCCCUCCUCCCAGCAACACACACACACACAAACACACACACAGACACACACAAACACACACAAACUCUUUAGUUACUACUGCCUUUUCCAGGUCUGGUCCUUUAUCCCCCUUCAGAACCCUUAGGUGCUGAGUAUUGUUUAUUUUUCUAUUUACCUUUAGAUGCCGGGCACCUUACACACUGAUCCCUGAUCCUCAAUAUCUCUGUCAGGCAGGGACCACAUCACAUCUUCAGAAAAUUCACAGGUUUAGUAGGAUGAGUUAAAGACAUUCACAGUAAAUCUUUUUUUUUCAACAUAAAGAAUCUGAUGUUCAGAGAGGUUCAUAAACACACCUAAGAUCCGACAGCUAAUAAUAAGCCUCAUUGGUAUUUAAAACCAGAUUGUUUAAUUAAAAUCUUUCUAAAAUGCUUUUGUGCCCCAAAGGAACAAUCAGUCAGAGAAGGCCUACCUCACUUUCUGUUCUAAAAUGCCCUUCAACUUCCAGCAGCUUCCCUUGUGAACUUCAGGGCUGUUCAAUGUUUGCAUGCAGAACAGAGCCCUGGAAGGACCAGGGAAGGUCACUUGGUUCAAGUGUCUGACCUGACCACGGUGGAAAACAACUGCCCAAGGUCCCCAGCUCUAGGCUCCAGAACCUUAUACAGAUAAUGCUAGAUAUUCCAACAGAAAUAUAAUAGAGCCAUAAUUAAGAAAUUUCUAAUUUCUAAUUUAAAAAAAGGAAAAAGAAACAGGUAAAAUUAAUUUUAAGCACAUAUUCUAUACCCAAACUAUUAUCAUUUCAACAUGCAAUCAGUAUAAAAGCUAGUAAUGAUAUAUUUUAUAUAACCCUAAUGUUAAAUUAAUUAAAUUAAAUUUUUAAAAAUUCAGUUCCUCAGUUGCUCUAGCCACAUUUCAAGUGCUCUGUAGAGGAUAGUAAUGGAAAGCUUGGUGCUAGAGAAACAUUUGGUGCUGACAGCAGUUAGGAGGAGUUCCUUUGUGAGUCUCCUUCGUGAGUGUGUAAUAUGUCAUUAAGGAUUUUGGAGCCCCUCCAUCAUGGCAGCUCACAUGCUGACACAGUGGCUCAGUGUCCCAAAAAAGGGGUAGAAGCUGAAUGCCCUUUCAUGACCUAGGCCUGAAAGUCAAAUUGUGUCUUUUCUGCUGUAUUCUAUUGUUGUCCAUAAACAAAGUUUUAUUGGUACCUAGCUCUGCUCAUUUGUUUACAUAUUGCCUAUCGCUGCCUUUGCACUACAAUGGCAGAGUUGAGUAGUACAAUGCAAAACCUAAAAUCUUUACUGUCUGGCUGUAGAAUAUCAAAAUUUUGGGUGGCAUGGUGUGAACUCCCAGUUUUUAACAGCAAAGUCAAUAUGAUGGUACCCUUUUGUCUUGGAAAUGUCCUCAAAGCAACAAAGAUAACAGAAAUCAGACAGAUAAACUUUAUCAAAAAAAAAAAAAAAAAAAAAAAA
rnacentral:lncRNA from 1 species